rnacentral:rRNA from 1 species
UACGUAGGCAGCGAGCGUUGUUCGGAAUUACUGGGCGUAAAGAGUGUGUAGGCGGUGUUCCCAGUCUGUUGUGAAAUCUCCCGGCUUAACUGGGAGGGUGCAGCGGAAACUAGAAUGCUAGAGGGUUGGAGAGGUAGCGUGAAUUCUCGGUGUAGCAGUGAAAUGCGUAGAUAUCGGGAGGAACACCGGUGGCGAAGGCGGCCUGCUGGGCAGUUGCUGACACUGAGGCGCGACAGCGUGGGGAGCAAACAGG